rnacentral:rRNA from 1 species
UACGGAGGGGGCUAGCGUUGUUCGGAAUUACUGGGCGUAAAGCGCACGUAGGCGGUUAUUCAAGUCAGAGGUGAAAGCCCGGAGCUCAACUCCGGAAUUGCCUUUGAAACUAGAUAACUUGAACGUCGGAGAGGUGAGUGGAAUUCCGAGUGUAGAGGUGAAAUUCGUAGAUAUUCGGAAGAACACCAGUGGCGAAGGCGACUCGCUGGACAGGUAUUGACGCUGAGGUGCGAAAGCGUGGGGAGCAAACAGG